rnacentral:rRNA from 1 species
ACGAACGCUGGCGGCAGGCUUAAUACAUGCAAGUCGAACGGCUCUUCGGAGCAGUGGCGGACGGGUGAGUAACGCGUGGGAAUGUGCCCUUAGGUACGGAACAACACAGGGAAACUUGUGCUAAUACCGUAUGUGCCCUUCGGGGGAAAGAUUUAUCGCCUUUGGAGCAGCCCGCGUUGGAUUAGGUAGUUGGUGAGGUAAAGGCUCACCAAGCCGACGAUCCAUAGCUGGUCUGAGAGGAUGACCAGCCACACUGGGACUGAGAUACGGCCCAGACUCCUACGGGAGGCAGCAGUAGGGAAUCUUGCGCAAUGGGCGAAAGCCUGACGCAGCCAUGCCGCGUGUAUGAUGAAGGUCUUAGGAUUGUAAAAUACUUUCACCGGGGAAGAUAAUGACGGUACCCGGAGAAGAAGCCCCGGCUAACUUCGUGCCAGCCGCCGCGGUAACAC